rnacentral:rRNA from 1 species
ACGGGUGAGUAACGCGUGGGAACGUGCCUUCCGGUUCGGAAUAACCCUGGGAAACUAGGGCUAAUACCGGAUACGCCCUUAUGGGGAAAGGUUUACUGCCGGAAGGUCGGCCCGCGUCUGAUUAGCUAGUUGGUGGGGUAACGGCCUACCAAGGCGACGAUCAGUAGCUGGUCUGAGAGGAUGAUCAGCCACACUGGGACUGAGACACGGCCCAGACUCCUACGGGAGGCAGCAGUGGGGAAUAUUGGACAAUGGGCGCAAGCCUGAUCCAGCCAUGCCGCGUGAGUGAUGAAGGCCUUAGGGUUGUAAAGCUCUUUUAUCCGGGACGAUAAUGACGGUACCGGAGGAAUAAGCCCCGGCUAACUUCGUGCCAGCAGCCGCGGUAAUACGAAGGGGGCUAGCGUUGCUCGGAAUCACUGGGCGUAAAGGGCGCGUAGGCGGCGUUUUAAGUCGGGGGUGAAAGCCUGUGGCUCAACCACAGAAUGGCCUUCGAUACUGGGACGCUUGAGUAUGGUAGAGGUUGGUGGAACUGCGAGUGUAGAGGUGAAAUUCGUAGA